AAAAUCAUAUUCAUCGAGCAUUUGCCCGAUUGAAAGUUAUACCUGGGCACGAGAUUAAACCCCGAGCUUAGGAAAAACUCGUUCAAUUCCUUGUAGAUAACAUGGAUUGUUUUUCUUAGUCCCGCCUAGAUAUGACAGGGAUCCCACCGGAGAUCACUACGCAUCGAUUGAGCUUGGACCUAAAGUUCUUCCCAGUAAAAUAAAAGAGAAGGCCCAGUCCGAGGUAAAACAUGCAUUCAUUCAGGACAAGGUAAUAAAACUUCUCAAUAUAGGACUCAUUCGAGAGGUAAAAUAUCUUGAAUGAUUAGCAAAUGUAGUUGUAGUCCCUAAAACGGAAAUAAACUUAAACUUUGUGUAGACUAUAAGGAUUUAAACAAGGAAUGUCCUAGAUAUUCCUUUCCUUUGCCCAGUAUCGAUCACAUAAUCGAUGCCACAACUGGCCAUGAGAUCCUUAGUUUUUUCUAUGCCUACUUCGGGUACAAUCAAAUACAAAUAAACCCGGAGGAUCGGGAAAAGAUUUCAUUCAUCACUAAAUACGACACUUAUUAUUAUAGAAUAAUGUCGUUUGGAUUAAAAAAUGUUGCUGCUACUUAUCAACUCCUAGUAAAUAAAAUAUUCGAGGAACAAAUCGGCAAGUCAAUGGAGGUUAAUAUUGACGAUAUGUUUGUUAAGUCCCUACGAGUAGAGUAAUAUUUGAAACAUUUGCAGGAAACCUUCGACAUACGGAGAGAAUACAACAUGAAGCUCAACCCGCAGCGUUUGGGGUCGAUUCGGGCAAGUUUUUCGGCUUUAUGGUAUCAGAUCGGGGAAUUGAAAUCAACCCCGAUAAAAUCAAGGCAUUCGAAGACAUUACAAUUGUUUAUUAUGUCAAGGUUGUACAGAGGUCAAUAGUAGGGCAGUGCACGGAUUGAAUCGGAUCGAUUUAACAAAUUUCAGAUUUGGAUUUCGGAUUUCGAAUUCUAGAAACUACAAUCUGAAUCCGAUCUGAAUUAAUAUCGGAUCAGAGCACAUUUCAAAUUUUGGAUCAGAUCAUAUCUCGGACCGUAUUAUUAUGCCUCAAAGUUGCAAAUUAAUGUGUAUAAUUUCUUUAUAAAAGAGGCAAUACAUUAGAAAAAAUUAUGUUUAUGCAAUUAUGAGAGUACUAUGGUGCCAAUAUAGCUAAAUCUAGCAAUUGUAAAUGUAAUAACUUUGAGGAAGAUGUGAAGGAAGUAGUGACUAUCCGAAAUUAAAGUGUAGUAUUUAUAAAUUACCUAAUAAUUUCGGAUUUCGAAUCGAAUUAAAAUAUACCAAUCCGAAAUUCAAAAUUUUAAUAAACACAAUUUGAAACCCGAUCCAAUCUGAAAUAUAAAAUCCAAAAUUGAAUGGAUUAUAGUUUGGAUUUCGGAUAUCCAAUUUGAAUGAACAACCCUAGUUAACAGGACACAUAGCCACCCUAGGUCGAUUUAUUUCGAGGUCCUCAGAUAGGAGCCACUGGUUCUUCUUGCUACUUAAUAAGAAGAGCAGUUUCGCAUGGACCCCGAAAUGUCAACAAGCCUUGGAGGAACUCAAAUGAUACAUGUCGAGCCCACCAUUGCUUCACACCCCGAAAGCAGACGAGCAUCUCUACUUAUACUUAGCGGUGGGUCUUAGUUCGAAAAGAGCAAGGUACGUAAUUUCUUGUUUACUACGUUUGUCAAACUCUAGGAAAGGCCAUCAAGUCUUAAAUCUUGGAAAACUUCGUGGCCAAUUUCACACCAACUCUCAUACCCGAGGUCGAAAAGGAACUGUUAUUAAAGUUGGGUACAUCAUCGGGGAUGUAGACCCUCUUCAUAGAUGUCACUUUGAAUGUGAACGGGUUCGGGCUAGGCAUCGUUUUGAAGCCGCCCACAUGUAAUACAAUUAGAUAAACUAUCAAAAUUUAAAAUUAACUAAUAAUGAGGCCGAGUAUGAGGCCAUGGUUGCAGGUCCCAAGCUAGACAAGAGCUUGGGAGCGGAGGUCAUCGAGGCCAAGUGCGACUCUCAACUUGUGGUAAAUCAAGUUAACAGAACUUUCGAGGUUCGAGAGGAUCGAAUGCAAAGGUACUUGGAAAAACUACAAGUGUCUUGAUUUAAAGAAUGGACCCUUAUAGCACGUACCUCGAAAACAAAAUAGCGAAGCCGGUGCCCUUGCAAAUUUAGGAUCGUCGAUUGAGGAUAACAAACUCAACUUAGGGAUUGUCGUACAUCUUUCAAGGUCACUAAUCAAAAAAGGAGACACCGAAAUAAACUCCACAAGUCUAACCUAGGAUUGGAGGAAUAAGUACAUCGAAUACCUAAAUAAUGUGAAGCUUUCAUCAUAUCCUAUGGAAUUAAAGACUCUACGCACGAAGGUCGCAUGGUUCACAUUGACCGAGGAUGGAACACUGAAUAGGAGAAUGUUCGUUGGACUGUUGGUAAAAUGUUUGGGACCGGGAGAUACUGCCUAUGUUCUACAGGAAAUUCACGAGGGCAUUUGCGAAAAUCAUUCCGGUGUUGAAUCAUUGGUUCACAAAGU
rnacentral:lncRNA from 1 species